UACGUAGGGAGCAAGCGUUGUCCGGAAUCAUUGGGCGUAAAGCGCGCGUAGGCGGCCUCGUAAGUCCGUUGUGAAAGUCAAAGGCUCAACCUUUGAAAGCCGAUGGAUACUGUGAGGCUAGAGUCCGGAAGAGGCGAGUGGAAUUCCUGGUGUAGCGGUGGAAUGCGCAGAUAUCAGGAGGAACACCAAUAGCGAAGGCAGCUCGCUGGGACGGUACUGACGCUAAGGCGCGAAAGCGUGGGGAGCAAACAGGG
rnacentral:rRNA from 1 species